AUGCCCACUUUCUUUCUUGCUGUACAGGUUUCAUAUUAUGUAUGUUGUAUCAUGAUCGCAGUAUACAAGAACCAAGGUGAUGCUGAGAAGAUUUUCACUUCAUAUGAUGAAUUAUAUGAUGUUUUGGUGACAUUAACCACCAAGAAGAUCUUAGAGGUAUAUACAACUUUCCUUUCAACCUCAUUGAAGUCAGCUUUAUUUAGACAUGGGACACGCUUGAAGGUAAACCUUUUUAAAAUCCUCAAUCAACAUGUUUUUAUUGGACAGUUUGACCAUUUCUUGCACAUGUACAAUAUGACUAUUCAUUGA
rnacentral:rRNA from 1 species